AGUGAACGCUGGCGGCGUGCUUAACACAUGCGAGUCGAACGAGAACGGGUUAUAGCUUGCUAUAAUUGUCAGCUAAGUGGCGCACGGGUGAGUAAUGUAUAGGUAAUAUGCCUCUUACUAAGGGAUAACAAAUGGAAACGUUUGCUAAUACCUUAUACUCCUUAUUAACAGAAGUUAAUAAGGGAAAGAUUUAUUGGUAAGAGAUUAGCCUGUAUUGUAUCAGUUAGUUGGUGGGGUAAUGGCUUACCAAGACUAUGACACAUAACUGGUUUGAGAGGAUGAUCAGUCACACUGGAACUGAGACACGGUCCAGACUCCUACGGGAGGCAGCAGUGGGGAAUAUUGCACAAUGGACGAAAGUCUGAUGCAGCAACGCCGCGUGGAGGAUGACGCAUUUCGGUGCGUAAACUCCUUUUAUAUGAGAGGAUAAUGACGGUAUUAUAUGAAUAAGCACCGGCUAACUCCGUGCCAGCAGCCGCAGUAA
rnacentral:rRNA from 1 species